rnacentral:lncRNA from 1 species
AAAUGUCUUAUGAUCUAUAGAGCCCUUUUGAUUUUUCUAUGGCAACAUUUGCUAUGCUGACGUCAUUGCCACGUCAUUACUGUCAGUCAGACAGAAAUAAAAGAAAAAUGGAUGCCGUUCAGACGUACACGCAUUAUUUGGAACUGAAAAUUACGUAAUUUAUCGACCUGCUGGCUUGUAUUUGUUAUAAAUCAUAAAAAAAUUAUGGAAAACAUCAUGAACAAUAAUGAAACAAACCGAACCUUUAGCUACAAUAAUAAAAUGACCCCAUGACGCCAGUGGAACUACGUGGUUUUCUUUCAUGAUGAUUUGAUGAUACCAUAAUGGAAUUAGCCAAGUUUUCGCCGUAUUGGGUGCUAGAUGCCCCUUGGAGUUAAGCCCCAGUGCCACUAUACUACCUUACCAGUUAUGUGUGGGUGUUGUAGUCCUAAGACACCCCGGAGGUACAAAGGGCCUUCACAAGCUCAUGCCACGCCUUCCUAUCUUCAGCAACCCUCGUGACCUCGCUCCACCAGCUCAAACCUGCCACUCACAGCUCCUUUUCGACGGACCGCUUCCAUGAGUAGACAAGGCACCGACGAUCACGGCUUGCAUCACCUGUACUAAUAUAGUAUGCUGAACACCGCUGUCAUUAUACUAGGAACAACGUCCUGCCCCUUCCCCGGCUGCGCACAAAUUGGAACUCCAUUGGCAUGCCCCUUUGACUGAGCAACUUGUGUAUGUGUGUGUGCUCGAAUCACAUUCACUUGCAACAGAAUGACUCCCAGGCUGACCUGGCUCAGUUCCUGUAUGUCUGAUCUACAUCCACAAUGGUUUCAAUGAAAGAGUGAAAAUUCUUCUCCAUGUACAAUCACUUCUAACGCCUACACUGACUACACCAAAUAUGAUCAUCACUCAACGUGUCUCACAUCAAGAUACUUUUCAAAAGUCAUCGAGAAGAGAAACAUAAUAUCUUUUCCCUUGGUUUCCUGAAUAAUCCUAACUAAAAGUUACUUCUCUAUUCUAUUUUUCCUGCAUGGAGUGGCGCUUUUCCGUCUAAUGGAAACGAAAUGAACAUAUAUGCUCUGGGUUUUUUUUGUUUUUGUGCACCUUUUCAAUAUUACUAAUAAAGCAUUU